GCUGGGCUGGGCUGCCCGUGUGACCCCCAGGCCAGUCUCUGGGGCCUGGACUCCACCAGCCCUGGGGCAUGUGCUGACCCAGGAUCGCUCACUGAAGCCCACUGUGUACAGCAGUGCCACCAGCGGCUGUUCCCUGACAGUGGGUGGCCCGCACUGGUGGGACAGGCUUGUGCCAGGCCCCAGGAGGAGACAGCCCACCCUCCCAGUUGCCCAGGUGCCCAGUUGGGGCAGUCAGAGCAGUGGACGUCUGAAGUUGCAGGCGUGUUCCCUGUCACCACCUGUCCUUCCUUCUGCCCCCGAGCAACCACCUGCCCGCUGCCUCUGAGUCCUGAGGACACCACACGAAGGUGCGGUGCA